UGCCCAGCAAAUCCUAUCCCUACCUCCUCGUGGUACUGGCCGGGGCUUCUAUUAUGAUAUUACUGGAAUAUUAGA
rnacentral:ribozyme from 1 species